rnacentral:rRNA from 1 species
UUGGAGGGCAAGUCUGGUGCCAGCAGCCGCGGUAAUUCCGGCUCCAAUAGCGUAUAUUAAAGUUGUUGCAGUUAAAAAGCUCGUAGUUGAAUUUCGGGAUUGGCGUGUCGGUCGUGCCUUACGGGGUAUGAACUGGCGUCGUCGAUUUCUCACCCUCUGGAGAAUCACGAUGCCCUUAAUUGGGUGUCGUGUGGAACCAGGACCUUUACCUUGAAAAAAUUAGAGUGUUUAAAGCAGGCAUUUUGCUCGAAUACAUUAGCAUGGAAUAAUAAAAUAGGACGGCUUGGUUCUAUUUUGUUGGUUUCUAGGAUCACCGUAAUGAUUAAUAGGGAUAGUUGGGGGCAUUAGUAUUCAAUUGUCAGAGGUGAAAUUCUUGGAUUUAUUGAAGACUAACUACUGCGAAAGCAUUUGCCAAGGAUGUUUUCAUUAAUCAAGAACGAAAGUUAGGGGAUCGAAGACGAUCAGAUACCGUCGUAGUCUUAACCAUAAACUAUGCCGACUAGGAAUCAGACGAUGUUAAUUUUUUAAUGACUCGUUUGGCACCUUACGGGAAAC